AUGUACCUUUCUUGGCUGAUCCCUUUCGCUGUAUGGCGUGCUCGUUUGGGUUGGGCGUCGGCUAAGAGUGCUCGGAGUGUGGAUUAACUCCAGUCUCCUAUCAGGUGAUUGAUUAUGGAAACGUUUCAACUUCAACCCGUAACAGUUGGAUUCACAACGGAUAUGGGGUAGGAAGGUAUUUGGAACGUUCUUCAACGAGUAGAUCUCUUGUGAGGAUUAAAGGCUACCGAUCGAGGAGUGUGUGAAAAGCUUGGAUCAUCGGAGUGACUAAAUCUAGUCAUCAACUUCGGCAAAGGAGAAAUCGCAUAGGAGAUCUCGUCAAGGAAUAUCGCAAAU